UGAGGCCUACGGGGCGCAGCAGUGAGGAAUAUUGGUCAAUGGGCUUACGCCUGAACCAGCCAAGUCGCGUGAGGGAAGACUGCCCUAUGGGUUGUAAACCUCUUUUGUCAGGGAGCAACGCCGGCUACGUGUAGCCGGACUGAGAGUACCUGAAGAAAAAGCAUCGGCUAACUCCGUGCCAGCAGCCGCGGUAAUACGGAGGAUGCGAGCGUCAUCCGGAUUUAUUGGGUUUAAAGGGUGCGCAGGCGGAAUGUCAAGUCAGCGGUAAAAUUUCGGGGCUCAACCCCGUCGUGCCGUUGAAACUG
rnacentral:rRNA from 1 species